ACGGCUCAGUAACACGUGGAUAACCUGCCCUUGGGUCCGGCAUAACUCCGGGAAACUGGAGAUAAUUCCGGAUAACGCAUAUAUGCUGGAAUGCUUUAUGCGUAAAAUGGAUUCGUCUGCCCAAGGAUGGGUCUGCGGCCUAUCAGGUAGUAGUGGGUGUAAUGUACCUACUAGCCUACGACGGGUACGGGUUGUGAGAGCAAGAGCCCGGAGAUGGAUUCUGAGACAUGAAUCCAGGCCCUACGGGGCGCAGCAGGCGCGAAAACUUUACAAUGCGGGAAACCGUGAUAAGGGGACACCGAGUGCCAGCAUCAUAUGCUGGCUGUCCAGGUGUGUAAAAUACACCUGUUAGCAAGGGCCGGGCAAGACCGGUGCCAGCCGCCGCGGUAACACCGGCGGCCCGAGUGGUGAUCGUGAUUAUUGGGUCUAAAGGGUCCGUAGCCGGUUUGGUCAGUCCUCCGGGAAAUCUGAUAGCUUAACUAUUAGGCUUUCGGAGGAUACUGCCAGACUUGGAACCGGGAGAGGUAAGAGGUACUACAGGGGUAGGAGUGAAAUCUUGUAAUCCCUGUGGGACCACCUGUGGCGAAGGCGUCUUACCAGAACGGGUUCGACGGUGAGGGACGAAAGCUGGGGGCACGAACCGGAUUAGAUACCCGGGUAGUCCCAGCCGUAAACGAUGCUCGCUAGGUGUCAGGCAUGGCGCGACCGUGUCUGGUGCCGCAGGGAAGCCGUGAAGCGAGCCACCUGGGAAGUACGGCCGCAAGGCUGAAACUUAAAGGAAUUGGCGGGGGAGCAC
rnacentral:rRNA from 3 species